AACGAACGCUGGCGGCGUGGAUUAGGCAUGCAAGUCGAACGUGAAACAGACUUUCGAGUUUGUGGAAAGUGGCGAACGGGUGAGUAUCGCGUGAGCAACCUGCCUUCAAGUGGGGAAUAACAUCUCUAACGAGAUGCUAAUACCGCAUAAUAGAUGUUUCGUAUGGAAUAUCUUAAAAGGUGACCUCUGACGCAAGUUGUCGCUUGAAGAUGGGCUCGCGCUCCAUUAGCUUGUUGGUGGGGUAAUGGCCUACCAAGGCUACGAUGGAUAGCCGGCUUGAGAGGGUGUCCGGCCACACUGGGACUGAGAUACGGCCCAGACUCCUACGGGAGGCAGCAGUCGAGAGGCUUCCACAAUGGGGGAAACCCUGAUGGAGCGACGCCGCGUGGGUGAUGAAGCUUCUUGGAGUGUAAAGCCCUUUUAGUGGGGACGAAUUAUAGGGAUGUUAAUACCAUCUCUUAUUGACGGUACCCGCAGAAAAAGCUCCGGCUAACUUCGUGCCAGCAGCCGCGGUAAUACGAGGGGAGCAAGCGUUGUUCGGAUUUACUGGGCGUAAAGGGCGUCUAGGCGGGCUUUCAAGUCAGAUGUGAAAUCCCUCGGCUCAACCGGGGAACUGCAUUUGAUACUGUUUGCCUUGAGUACAGAAGAGGAAAGCGGAAUUCCUGGUGUAGCGGUGAAAUGCGUAGAUAUCAGGAAGAACSCCAGUGGCGAAGGCAGCUUUCUGGGAUGAUACUGACGCUGAAGCGCGAAAGCGUGGGGAGCAAACAGGAUUAGAUACCCUGGUAGUCCACGCCGUAAACGAUGGGCACUAGGUGUUGGGAGUAUCGACCCUCUCAGUGCCGAAGCUAACGCAUUAAGUGCCCCGCCUGGGGAGUACGAUCGCAAGGUUG
rnacentral:rRNA from 1 species